rnacentral:rRNA from 2 species
CCCGCACAAGCGGUGGAGCAUGUGGUUUAAUUCGAAGCAACGCGAAGAACCUUACCAGGUCUUGACAUCCUCUGACAAUCCUAGAGAUAGGACGUCCCCUUCGGGGGCAGAGUGACAGGUGGUGCAAAAAAUCGUCAGCUCGUGUCGUGAGAUGUUGGGUUAAGUCCCGCAACGAGCGCAACCCUUGAUCUUAGUUGCCAGCAUUCAGUUGGGCACUCUAAGGUGACUGCCGGUGACAAACCGGAGGAAGGUGGGGAUGACGUCAAAUCAUCAUGCCCCUUAUGACCUGGGCUACACACGUGCUACAAUGGACAGAACAAAGGGCGGCGAAACCGCGAGGUUAAG